UACGUAGGGACCAAGCGUUGUUCGGAUUUACUGGGCGUAAAGGGCGCGUAGGCGGCAAUUCAAGUCAGCUGUGAAAUCUCUGGGCUUAACCCAGAACGGCCAGCUGAUACUGCUUUGCUAGAGUGCAGAAGGGGCAAUCGGAAUUCUUGGUGUAGCGGUGAAAUGCGUAGAUAUCAAGAGGAACACCUGAGGUGAAGACGGGUUGCUGGGCUGAUACUGACGCUGAGGCGCGAAAGCUAGGGUAGCAAACGGG
rnacentral:rRNA from 1 species